GAUGAACGCUAGCGGCAGGCUUAACACAUGCAAGUCGAGGGGUAGAGGAAGCUUGCUUCCUUGAGACCGGCGCACGGGUGCGUAACGCGUAUGCAACCUACCUUUUACAGAGGGAUAGCCCAGAGAAAUUUGGAUUAAUACCUCAUAGUAUAUAGUCUUCGCAUGUUGACUAUAUUAAAGUUCCAACGGUAAAAGAUGGGCAUGCGUCCUAUUAGAUAGAUGGUAAGGUAACGGCUUACCAUGGCAACGAUAGGUAGGGGUCCUGAGAGGGAGAUCACCCACACUGGUACUGAGACACGGACCAGACUCCUACGGGAGGCAGCAGUGAGGAAUAUUGGACAAUGGGCGCAAGCCUGAUCCAGCCAUGCCGCGUGCAGGAAGAAGCAUCUAUGGUGUGUAAACUGCUUUUGUACAGGAAGAAACACCCCGACGUGUCGGGACUUGACGGUACUGUAAGAAUAAGGAUCGGCUAACUCCGUGCCAGCAGCCGCAGUAAGAC
rnacentral:rRNA from 1 species